UGGGGAAUCUUGCGCAAUGGGCGAAAGCCUGACGCAGCCAUGCCGCGUGAAUGAUGAAGGUCUUAGGAUUGUAAAAUUCUUUUCACCGGGGACGAUAAUGACGGUACCCGGAGAAGAAGCCCCGGCUAACUUCGUGCCAGCAGCCGCGGUAAUACGAAGGGGGCUAGCGUUGCUCGGAAUUACUGGGCGUAAAGGGCGCGUAGGCGGACAUUUAAGUCAGGGGUGAAAUCCCAGAGCUCAACUCUGGAACUGCCUUUGAUACUGGGUGUCUUGAGUGUGAGAGAGGUAUGUGGAACUCCGAGUGUAGAGGUGAAAUUCGUAGAUAUUCGGAAGAACACCAGUGGCGAAGGCGACAUACUGGCUCAUUACUGACGCUGAGGCGCGAAAGCGUGGGGAGCAAACAGGAUUAGAUACCCUGGUAGUCCCUGAGCGGGCUGGCAAGGCGCAU
rnacentral:rRNA from 1 species